rnacentral:tRNA from 1 species
GCCUGGCUGGCUAGGUCAGUAGAGCAUGUGACUCUUGAUCUCAGGGUCAUGAGUUCAAGCCUCAGGUUGGGCG